rnacentral:rRNA from 1 species
UCUACCCCAUGGAGCUUCUAACCCAAUUACACCCCCGUACCCUCCGUAACCACCUAACCCGCCCGCGACGUGUAAUUACUUUUCGGUUGGGGCGACCACCGAGUAUAAUCAAACCUCCGUGAUGAACGGGAUUACCCUUAUCUUUGAACAACAGCUCUAAGAAAUACAACACUAACAUAAAAUGAUCCAUUAUAUGAUCAACGAACCAUGUUACCCUGGGGAUAACAGCGCAGUCCAUUUCACGAGCCCCUAUCGACAAAU